CUGAUGAAAUAACGCUGAUCAAUAAUGAAGAAAGAAAAAAUUAAACGUGGAAGCCAGAAUCCUCCUUGAGAUGCUGUCUUCUGUUAGUGUCUACAGAAGGAGAGAAACACCUGAGGCAGACUUUGUUAUCUUUUCUUCAGUUAGCUUUAAGCAGGAGCAGUGAAAUAGAGACUGUGCUGGUCACUGGCGUCCUCUGGCCCCGGGUGAUAUGAUCCACUCAUCUGA